rnacentral:rRNA from 1 species
UACAGAGGGUGCAAGCGUUGUUCGGAAUUACUGGGCGUAAAGCGUGCGUAGUCGGUAUUGAGAGUCGCGGGUGAAAUCCCAGGGCUUAACCCUGGAACUGCCUGCGAGACCUCAGUACUAGAGUGUGAGAGGGGAUAGUGGAAUACCCAGUGUAGCGGUGAAAUGCGUAGAGAUUGGGUGGAACACCCAAGGGGAAGCCAGCUGACUGGCCCGGUACUGACACUCAGGGACGACAGCGUGGGGAGCGAACCGG